GAUGAAGAACGCAGCGAAAUGCGAUAACUAAUGUGAAUUGCAGAAUUCAGUGAAUCAUCGAGUCUUUGAACGCACAUUGCGCCCCCUGGUAUUCCGGGGGGCAUGCCUGUCCGAGCGUCAUUGCUGCCCUCAAGCACGGCUUGUGUGUUGGGCCUCCGCCCCCCGGCUCCCGGGGGGCGGGCCCGAAAGGCAGCGGCGGCACCGCGUCCGGUCCUCGAGCGUAUGGGGCUUCGUCACCCGCUCCGUAGGCCCGGCCGGCGCCCGCCGGCGACCCCCCUCAAUCUUUCCAGGUUGACCUCGGAUCAGGUAGGGAUACCCGCUGAACUUAAGCAUAUCAAUAAGCGGAGGA
rnacentral:misc_RNA from 1 species